rnacentral:rRNA from 1 species
CGGACGGGAUUGGAGAGCUUGCUUUCCUGAGAGUGGCGCACGGGUGCGUAACACGUAUGUAACCUACCUUUAUCAGGGGGAUAGCCUCUCGAAAGAGAGAUUAAGCCCGCAUAAUAUGAAGACACAGCAUUGUGAUUUCAUCAAAUAUUUAUAGGAUAGAGAUGGGCAUGCGGAACAUUAGCUAGUUGGUAAGGUAAUGGCUUACCAAGGCUACGAUGUUUAGGGGAUCUGAGAGGAUGACCCCCCACACUGGUACUGAGACACGGACCAGACUCCUACGGGAGGCAGCAGUAAGGAAUAUUGGUCAAUGGGCGGAAGCCUGAACCAGCCAUGCCGCGUGCAGGAAGACGGCCCUACGGGUUGUAAACUGCUUUUGUACCGGAAUAAACCCUGAUUCGUGAAUCAGGCUGAAUGUACGGUAAGAAUAAGGAUCGGCUAACUCCGUGCCAGCAGCCGCGGUAAUACGGAGGAUCCAAGCGUUAUCCGGAUUUAUUGGGUUUAAAGGGUGCGUAGGCGGCCUGUUAAGUCAGGGGUGAAAGACGGUAGCUCAACUAUCGCAGUGCCCUUGAUACUGAUGGGCUUGAAUGUACUAGAGGUAGGCGGAAUGUGACAAGUAGCGGUGAAAUGCAUAGAUAUGUCACAGAACACCAAUUGCGAAGGCAGCUUACUAUGGUAUGAUUGACGCUGA